AAGGCAGACACUGAACGACUGAGCCACCCAGGUAACACAUGCACAGAAGAAAGAGGACAAUGUGAAGACACAGAAGAUGAUCGUCUACAAGCCAAGGAGAGAGACUUCAGAAGAAACCACUGCUAACACAUUGAUCUCAGAUUUGUAGCCUCCAGAAUUGUGAGAAAAUAAAUUUCUGUUGUUUAAGCCA